rnacentral:rRNA from 1 species
AUUGAACGCUGGCGGCAGGCCUAACACAUGCAAGUCGAACGAGUGGCGGACGGGUGAGUAAUGUCUGGGGAUCUGCCUGAUGGAGGGGGAUAACUACUGGAAACGGUAGCUAAUACCGCAUACCAUCGGAUGUACCCAGAUGGGAUUAGCUUGUCGGUGAGGUAACGGCUCACCUAGGCGACGAUCCCUAGCUGGUCUGAGAGGAUGACCAGCCACACUGGGACUGAGACACGGCCCAGACUCCUACGGGAGGCAGCAGUGGGGAAUAUUGCACAAUGGGCGCAAGCCUGAUGCAGCCAUGCCGCGUGUAUGAAGAAGGCCUUCGGGUUGUAAAGUACUUUCAGUCGGGAGGCGUUACUCGCAGAAGAAGCACCGGCUAACUCCGUGCCAGCAGCCGCGGUAAUAC